GGUGGCCUCUCCACCUGUAUCUGCCAUGAAUGCACCAUAAUGAAAGCACCUCUCCUUAUAGUUCUUCAGUCCCUUCUUGUGUUAGGUUGCAUCUUCUAAGAAGCAGCUUUCAAGAUGUAUUAGAAGUACGAGAGUUACUAGAAGCAGUGUCCAUGAAACAGGCCUCAGAAGUAGGGAGGAAGGAGGGAGGAUUCGGUAUCAAGAGUUUCAGACUGUAGUGCAACCCUGAGAAACACUAAGGCACUCUGGCAGGGAGCUCCCGAGAUGCCUGCUUUGUCCAGCUGCUGGCUGGAGCACAGCCGGGGCUAGAACACUGCAGCGGGUCCCUGAGAUGACACAGCUGGAACGUGU